UGCCAGCCGCCGCGGUAAUACGAAGGGACCUAGCGUAGUUCGGAAUUACUGGGCUUAAAGAGUUCGUAGGUGGUUGAAAAAGUUAGUGGUGAAAUCCCAGAGCUUAACUCUGGAACUGCCAUUAAAACUUUUCAGCUAGAGUAUGAUAGAGGAAAGCAGAAUUUCUAGUGUAGAGGUGAAAUUCGUAGAUAUUAGAAAGAAUACCAAUUGCGAAGGCAGCUUUCUGGAUCAUUACUGACACUGAGGAACGAAAGCAUGGGUAGCGAAGAGGAUUAGAUA
rnacentral:rRNA from 1 species